rnacentral:rRNA from 1 species
UACGGGGGGAGCAAGCGUUGUUCGGAUUUACUGGGCGUAAAGGGCGCGUAGGCGGUCAGCACAAGUCAGUUGUGAAAUCUCCGGGCUUAACUCGGAACGGUCAACUGAUACUGUCGGACUAGAGUGCAGAAGGGGCAACUGGAAUUCUCGGUGUAGCGGUGAAAUGCGUAGAUAUCGAGAGGAACACCUGCGGCGAAGGCGGGUUGCUGGGCCGACACUGACGCUGAUGCGCGAAAGCCAGGGGAGCGAACAGG